rnacentral:rRNA from 1 species
GAUGAACGCUGGCGGCGUGCCUAAUACAUGCAAGUCGAGCGAAUGGAUUAAGAGCUUGCUCUUAUGAAGUUAGCGGCGGACGGGUGAGUAACACGUGGGUAACCUGCCAUAAGACUGGGAUAACUCCGGGCAACCGGGGCUAAUACCGGAUAACAUUUUGAACCGCAUGGUUCGAAAUUGAAAGGCGGCUUCGGCUGUCACUUAUGGAUGGACCCGCGUCGCAUUAGCUAGUGGGUGAGGUAACGGCUCACCAAGGCAACGAUGCGUAGCCGACCUGAGAGGGUGAUAGGCCACGCGGGGAGUGAGACACGGCCCAGACUCCUACGGGAGGAAGCAGUAGGGAAUCUUCCGCAAUGGACGAAAGCCUGACGGAGCAACGCCGCGUGAGUGAUGAAGGCUUUCGGGUCGUAAAACUCUGUUGUUAGGGAAGAACAAGUGCUAGUUGAAUAAGCUGGCACCUUUACGGUACCUAACCAGAAAGCCACGGCUAACUACGUGCCAGCCGCCGCUGUAA